rnacentral:rRNA from 1 species
AGAGUUUGAUCAUGGCUCAGGACUAACGCUGGCGGCGUGCCUAACACAUGCAAGUCGAACGGGGCCCUGGUUCGCCAGGGUCUAGUGGCAGACGGGUGAGUAACACGUAGGUAAUGUACCCUCUUGCUGGGGAUACCUGUCCGAAAGGAUGGUUAAUACCGAAUGAGCCACGACCGGGGCAUCCUGGUGGUGGCAAACUGGCAACGGGCGAGAGGAUCAGCCUGCGGACCAUCAGCUGGUUGGUGGGGUAACGGCCUACCAAGGCGACGACGGUUAGCCGGUUUGAGAGGACGAUCGGCCACACUGGGACUGAAACACGGCCCAGACUCCUACGGGAGGCAGCAGUGAGGAAUAUUGCGCAAUGGGCGAAAGCCUGACGCAGCGACGCCGCGUGAGGGAUGAAGGCCUUCGGGUCGUAAACCUCUGUCAGUGGGGAAGAGAACGGACGGUACCCACUGAGGAAGCAUCGGCUUACUACGUGCCAGCAGCCGCGGUAAUACGUAGGAUGCAAGCGUUGUCCGGAUUUACUGGGCGUAAAGAGCUCGUAGGCGGGGACGCGCGUCUCGGAGGAAAUUCCAGGGCUCAACCCUGGAGCUUUCCGAGAUACGGCGUCUCUUGAGGGCAGAAGAGGAGAACAGAAUUCCCGGUGUAGCGGUGAAAUGCGUAGAUAUCGGGAGGAAUACCAGUGGCGAAGGCGGUUCUCUGGUCUGUCUCUGACGCUGAGGAGCGAAAGCGUGGGUAGCGAACGGGAUUAGAUACCCCGGUAGUCCACGCCGUAAACGAUGGGCACUAGGUGUAGGAGGUAUCGACCCCUUCUGUGCCGCAGCUAACGCAUUAAGUGCCCCGCCUGGGGAGUACGGCCGCAAGGUUGAAACUCAAAUGAAUUGACGG